CGAAAAAACAACUCAUACAGUUGUCCGAACUAAUUAACAUCUCUGUGUGUGUAUUUAGCAGUCUGUCUGUCUGUGUACUUAGCAGACUGCUGAAUACACACACAGACUGCUGAGUACACAAUCUGCUGAAUACACACACACAGACAGACUGCUGAGUGUACACACACACAGACAGACAGACUGCUGAGUGUACACACACACAGACAGACUGCUGAGUGUACACACACACA